rnacentral:rRNA from 1 species
GACGAACGCUGGCGGCAGGCUUAACACAUGCAAGUCGAGCGGGCGCCUUCGGGCGUCAGCGGCGGACGGGUGAGUAACGCGUGGGAACGUGCCCUCUGGUUCGGGACAACCCUGGGAAACUGGGGCUAAUACCGGAUACGCCCUCUGGCAGCGAUGCUGGAAGGGAAAGGUUUAUCCGCCGGAGGAUCGGCCCGCGUCUGAUUAGCUAGUUGGUGGGGUAAUGGCCUACCAAGGCGAAGACGCUUAGCUGGUCUGAGAGGAUGAUCAGCCACACGGAAACUGGGACACGGUUCAGACUCCUACGGGAGGCAGCAGUGGGGAAUAUUGGACAAUGGGCGCAAGCCUGACCCAGCCACGCCGCGUGAGUGAUGAAGGCCUUCGGGUCGUAAAGCUCUGUGGGGAGGGACGAACCGCCGGAUGUGCAUAGCAUCCGGCAUGACGGUACCUCCUUAGCAAGCACCGGCUAACUUCGUGCCAGCCGCCGCAGUAA